rnacentral:ncRNA from 1 species
GGAGAUAGAGGUGCAUUUGACAUUAGUAGAUAUUUUGAUGUUGCAGUGACAUAAGAGAAAUAUCAAAAGGGGAUAAUGCCGAAGGAAGUAUCUUGCUGUAUGGUAGUUCCUGGUUGUCUGUGUUAAUAGCACGAUGACUGUCAUUGAUAUGCCCAAAGGUGGGCUAUUAAUGGAGAGCUAUCUGU